GGAAAGCUUAAGGUUCGUUUGAUGCCCCGCAGCUUUUACAAAACCAAGUAUGUGCACUAACGCAUGUGAUUUGCAAAAUAGUCACACAUAUUGCAUUGUGCAUAGUGCUGUAAGAACGAGGUUCUAAAAAUACCAACUUUGCAUACAUAUUUGAGAAGAAAGUAUCGCUAUAUAUUAAACUGGAGUGGAGGAUAUUUCCAUGCAAAGAUGUACACCUAAGUUUUCUGUCUUUUGUUUCCAUUUUGAUUAUCCACCACCUCUGGCGAUAAAGUGUUGUACAACUCAAUAGCCUUCUCAAAAAUGUUUCUUAGCUUGGACCUUGCAUCAUUGUCCGCAAUAAAGGGAGGCUGCUGCUGCAGCACAUUGACGAGCAGAACCGUUUCUUCAUCAUCCGACAAUUCAAUUGGCAGUUUCCCAGUAAAAUAACCCUCAGCAAGGUCUUGCACCAAGUGUGUGAUCAGUUCAAGUUUCCCUAGUAUCUCUGGAAACUUAAUAAAAUCUUCAACUCUUUUGUGGUCGAGUCCCUUCCAUAAUUUCAUCACAUGAUGCAGCUCCUUUGGUUGGAUCAUGCUAGAAAUGCUUUUGAGUAUCCUCAGUGUGAACACAUGAUCCAAAUUCCUCAACUGCGAAGACAGAUUUCUUACGAAUAUUGAGCGGAAUUGUUCAGCAAGUGCAAUGACUGAGCAUCUCUUAUCAGCUCCAGAGAUCUCCAAUUCAUAAUCACGCAACAGUUUAAACAUCACACAUGCUUGCACAUCAUCAAACGGAUCCUUAGCUCCAGAUUUCAUAAGCUUUCCAACAAAGAAUACAAGGAAACCAUAUCCCUCCCAGCGGGAAACAGCAUUAACAGUCAGGUCACUGUAGACACCUAUGUAAUGCAACUUUGCCCAUUUCUUUUGAAGAUUGACGAGUGGACCCUCUUGUACGGCAUUUACAAUUGCUUUUCCGUCAUAAAAUCUUGUCAAAAUGUCCAAUGAUGUUGAACCAUACCCAUCCUGUGAUGCAUCAGGUAUCUGAAACAAAUGCACGAUCCGAGCACCCGCAAGGGACUUAGAUUUCAGGUCAGGAUAAUAUGCAAAUGUUUUGCUUAUUGCAUUCCCCAUAUUAUCAUCUUCUAGACUAGGAAGAUCAGGUAUUGCCCCCUCAAGAUAUACCUGAAUAGCACAGUAUAUGGUUGGGCUACCAAGUCCCGUCCAUAGCUCAAUCGGAUCGAUGAGCACGUAAAGGCAAUGCCUAGGAUCACUAGACAUAAAUUUCAAGUGAGUUUCGUUGAGGAAGUUUCCGCUUAUACUAGCAAGUGACAGACACAAUUUUUUGGUGAUCUCUCCAUCCAAAGAUAAGAGGUGAGAAAUAUCAAUUUCAUAUAGGCAAGGCAUCUGAUGGGCUGAAUCUGCCUUGGCUGCCAUUAGAA
rnacentral:misc_RNA from 1 species